AGGAAAACUAAAAUUCGGGCUAAAAUGGGGAAAAUACCAAGUUGUGGACGAAAUGGUAAAAGUAGCCAUUUUCGCAUACGAGUGUUGACAAGCCAGCUCGGAAAUCGGAAACGGUCGGAGGCACGCUCACACUAUCCGUAUACCAUCUUGGCAUAAUGGCUUGUAUAUUUUGAGUAUGGCAUGUAUAGCAUUAUAAUCAUUUUGUGUAUAUGGUCUUAUGAUAUGGUUAUUGAGUGGUAUGGAAAU